rnacentral:rRNA from 1 species
AUUGAACGCUGGCGGAAUGCUUUACACAUGCAAGUCGAACGGCAGCACGGACUUCGGUCUGGUGGCGAGUGGCGGACGGGUGAGUAAUGUAUCGGAACGUGCCCAGUCGUGGGGGAUAACGUCGUGAAAAUUACGCUAAUACCGCAUACGAUCUAUGGAUGAAAGCGGGGGAUCGCAAGACCUCGCGCGAUUGGAGCGGCCGAUAUCAGAUUAGGUAGUUGGUGGGGUAAAGGCCCACCAAGCCAACGAUCUGUAGCUGGUCUGAGAGGACGACCAGCCACACUGGAACGGAGACACGGUCCAGACUCCUACGGGAGGCAGCAGUGGGGAAUUUUGGACAAUGAGCGACAGGCUGGACCAGCCAUUCCGCGUGCCGGAGGAAGGCCCUCGGGUUGUAAACUGCUUUUGUACAGAACGAAAAGGUUUCUACUAAUACUAGGAGCUCAUGACGGUACUGUAAGAAUAAGCACCGGCUAACUACGUGCCAGCCGCCGCCGUAA